CUGGUUCCGGUUCACGUCCUAGCCUGCGGGCCGCCCCGGCCACGCGCGAGGCGACGACGACCCGGCGACC
rnacentral:ncRNA from 1 species